rnacentral:rRNA from 1 species
GCCGCGUGAGUGAAGAAGGGUUUCGGCUCGUAAAGCUCUGUUGGUAGUGAAGAAAGAUAGAGGUAGUAACUGGCCUUUAUUUGACGGUAAUUACUUAGAAAGUCACGGCUAACUACGUGCCAGCAGCCGCGGUAAUACGUAGGUGGCAAGCGUUGUCCGGAUUUAUUGGGCGUAAAGCGAGUGCAGGCGGUUCAAUAAGUCUGAUGUGAAAGCCUUCGGCUCAACCGGAGAAUUGCAUCAGAAACUGUUGAACUUGAGUGCAGAAGAGGAGAGUGGAACUCCAUGUGUAGCGGUGGAAUGCGUAGAUAUAUGGAAGAACACCAGUGGCGAAGGCGGCUCUCUGGUCUGCAACUGACGCUGAGGCUCGAAAGCAUGGGUAGCGAACAGGAUUAGAUACCCUGGUAGUCCAUGCCGUAAACGAUGAGUGCUAAGUGUUGGGAGGUUUCCGCCUCUCAGUGCUGCAGCUAACGCAUUAAGCACUCCGCCUGGGGAGUACGACCGCAAGGUUGAAACUCAAAGGAAUUGACGGGGGCCCGCACAAGCGGUGGAGCAUGUGGUUUAAUACGAAGCAACGCGAAGAACCUUACCAGGUCUGGACAUCCAGUGCAAACCUAAGAGAUUAGGUGUUCCCUUCGGGGACGCUGAGACAGGUGGUGCAUGGCUGUCGUCAGCUCGUGU